AUGCAGAUAGUGGAGUGGAAUUGGGAGCAUAAUGUUAUGGACUUUGUUGUGAGAUUACCCAGGAUAUGGAGAGGAUAUGGUGCGUUGGGUAAUCAUGGAUUGGUUGAUGACUUUGCUCCCUAGCUAUCAGUUUGUAGGAGGUUAUCAUUGGAUGAUACCCUUGAGUGUGGAUCCCCGAGUUGACCAGUAAAUUUGGGGAUCAAAUUUUUAUUAGUGGGGAAGAAUAUAAAAUACUGUAAAAUUAAAUAAUAAAUAUUAUUGGACGAAAAAUCUUAUUGGAUUUUUCAGGAAUUUUUAGAAAUUUUUUGAGAUUUAAACGGAGUCCGUAUGAUCCGUUUUGAGAGGAUGGAUUCCGGGUACAGAGGAGGCCUGUUUGGAAUACCCAUUAUGUGGGAGUUGAUUAAGUGGUUAACUUAGAGGUUAAUUAAGUUAACCUAAGUAUUUAAUUAAGAACACUAAAUCCCUAAAUCCUCGAUUUCUUCUCCUCCUUCCCGAUUCUGCCGAACCCACCUCCCUCUCCCGAUCUCCUCCUCCUCACAUUACACCCGAGACCCCCUUCCCUCUCUGACGAUUCCUCCUCGCCCGAUCGCCAGCCACCGCGAGUUCACCACCGGCAGCGACCUAUCCUCUGCAUGCCUCACCAACACCAAGCUCUCUUGGCUGUCGAUCCUCUCCUCCCUCUCCCUCGUGAUUCCUCCCCUAACUCGCGACGCCGACCUUGUGCUGCAGCGAUUCGCCGAUCGUCGGGCAUCCAUGAGCAGCCGAUGCUGGCCACCGAUUCCUGAGCCCUAGCUUCGGGUCUAUAACCUUCUUCUUGACCCACGACGCCUCCCUAGCAUGACUCGAUCUUGGACCAAAGCAAGAAUCGGAGCCCUAGCUCCCAUUCCUCGUCAUAGUAGCUGUGGAUCGCACGACACCACCUGUAGGGAUUGAUUGAGUCUAGGAGGCGACGUCGGAUCAACCUGUUGAUGGUUCUUCCCUAAGCAGAUCAUGAUCUUCUCCAUUCCUUGCAGUUGAUUGAAGCCUCGGGUGAAGAGCUACCAGGCAGUGUCUUGCUGGGGUACGAGAUCCUGAUUUACUGCCAUCUCUCAAGGUAAGUGUCUUCCAGUGAUGCCCCAUUGGUUUUCUUAUUAGGGUGCUACUCUAUUAAGUUUCCUAAUGGAUUGUAGAAUUGAUUCUUGAUAUUAGUAGAUAACAUGUAGAUAAUAGUUGAUAGUUGAUUCAAUGGAUUAACUAAUUAGAAGUUAGAAUUCGGUUGUGAUAUGAUGAUUAGGAUGAUGUAGGUUGAAUUGAUUAUGGAUUUGGUUUGAUCGUUGAUGGGGAAAUUAUGUUUAGAAGAUUGAAGGAUUUAAGGUGCAUUGGAUUGAUUAAUAGAUUGUGGAUUAUGUUUGGAUCUAAAAGGAGAUGAAUUAAGAAUUAUUUGGAGGAAUAAUCAGAGAUCAGAUUUGAGUGGAGUUUCCUAAUUAGGCAAGGAUUUUAUUUAGCUGUUUUAAUUCUUGUGAAUUUAUCUAAAUAAAAUAUAUAUAUAUUGAUCGCAGGACUUAAAUUCGGGAUGAGCGUCUCG